GGGCCCGUAGCUCAGCUUGGUAGAGCAACUGGCUCUUAACCAGUAGGUCGCGGGUUCGAAAUUGUUUUUUAUUAAAACAACAAAAAUCCCGUCGGGCCCA
rnacentral:tRNA from 1 species